AACGAACGCUGGCGGCAGGCCUAAUACAUGCAAGUCGAACGAUCCUUCGGGAUAGUGGCGCACGGGUGAGUAACACGUGGGAACAUACCCUUGGGUGCGGAACAACGUCGGGAAACUGACGCUAAUACCGCAUAAUGACUCCGGUCCAAAGAUUUAUCGCCCAAGGAUUGGCCCGCGCUAGAUUAGGUUGUUGGUGAGGUAACGGCUCACCAAGCCUACGAUCUAUAGCUGGUCUGAGAGGAUGAUCAGCCACACUGGGACUGAGACACGGCCCAGACUCCUACGGGAGGCAGCAGUAAGGAAUAUUGGACAAUGGGGGCAACCCUGAUCCAGCCAUGCCGCGUGAGUGAAGAAGGCCUUAGGGUUGUAAAGCUCUUUCAGGUGCGAAGAUAAUGACUGUAACACCAGAAGAAGCCCCGGCUAAAUUCGUGCCAGCAGCCGCGGUAAUGUCUGUACU
rnacentral:rRNA from 1 species